ensembl:lncRNA
CAGUAAUGUUCACUGUUUUAAUGAUAACAUGGACCGGACAGACAGUAAUGUUCACUGUUAUAAUGAUAACAUGGACUGGACAGACAGUAAUGUUCACUGUUUUAAUGAUAACAUGGACUGGACAGACAGUAAUGUUCACUGUUAUAAUGAUAACAUGGACUGGGCAGUAAUUGAUGUUCACUGUAUUUUAAUGAUAACAUGGACUGGACAGACAGUAAUGUUCACUGUAUUCCAGGUUCCAUAGAUGAGGCAAACAACUCCAGUCAGUAGGACAGAGACAUUGAUGACAUCAGUGUCUCGGAUGAGGGUGAGGAGUGAGAGAAACCGAUUGUCCAGAAUCUUCGAGAAGCGUAGGAGACGCCCGUGUUUGAUAGAUUGUCCGACCCCGACGGUUAAGGUCAAGAGGAUGGUCUCACUAGCUGUGAGAGUGAUUGAUCUAUUUUAUUGUCCAUCUUCCAUACAGUCCUAGGAACGGUAAGGCUGUAAGACUGCUACUGGUUUUUAAUUUAUAAAGAAAUUGUAUUGAUCUCUACUGUACGCACAGAUACAAAUAUCAAUCUGUUAUAGAGGAGUUCCUCUCUACCCUCUGGUACAGUGUCCAUAUUAGGACAUAGUCAGGCAUCAGACAAAUCUGGGUCAGAAUCAAUGUCCUAAUAUGGACACCAUACUAAGAUUUUGUUGUAAUGAAAUAAGGCCUACUGUAUUGAAUAUUCAGCUACAUACUUUCUGUUUGAGUGUACAGUGUGUGACAUGGCAUUAAAUGUGCUGUAAUAUUAAUUAAAACCAAAGGAGAAACUCCAUCUAUCGAACUUGCAUUAUGUGUCGCACUUGACACAUACACACUUUGUUUCAGCCUGUUUCUCUCUCUGGGAAACACAUGAUUAGAUAGCACACAGACAGGCUAGGACCAAAGUUCAAACCUGGGACAUCGUAAAUGACCUUUGAAAGUCACGUGCAGAGCUCUAGUCGACGACAACGCGCCUUUUGAUCGAAUCCCAGACUAAAGUCACUGAUAAAAACUAAUCAUAUGCCUGUAAAACAAGUAAAAUCAUCCCUUCUAGGCACGAUCAUCAUCUUAUUGGCAAAGUAAACAUUUGUCGGGUCAAAAUAAUGUCAAAAUAAUGGUUUGGCUCGAAGCUGAAAAAAAAACGUAUAUUUGGAAUACUAAUCAAGUCCAAUACAUGAUGACAUCAAAGAUUCACAAUCACAUCCCUUCUUAUCAAUUUAUACCAUUAAAUAGUAUAAUAUACAACAUCUUGACACUUAGGACUACGGAAUAAUGUUAGGUCCAAAGGCUGACCUCCCAGCCUGGUUACAGCGAUCAACCAGCACAACCAAUUAACAGUACAAUAUUAUUCAACAUCUUUGAACAGACAACGUGCAACAUCACGUCCAGCAGAGCAGAGUCCUUCUGUCUGUAAGGGGGGGGAGGGGGGGGGCGUUCACAAGACAGCGAGUUCACAAAAACGUAUCGUCAAAUACACACAACCGUGACAUGUUACACACAUGUAGUCCGACAAGACGUUGUCCAAUCCUAACGCUUUGAUAUGUUGUUGCAUUGUUCUCCGUUCCUCUCAGUACCUUGGCGAUUGACAGCUAUAUAUUUUAUGUCACAUGAAGAUUUCAACACUGUUCAGUACCGAUAUCCUAGUACCGCGCGACAGACACACAAACAGUUGCUAAGGAGCGGUUGGCAUAACAUUGGAGUAACCUUGCAGUAGCAUGUUUGAGAAUACGUUCUUCCGUGAGAUUAGGAUGUGUUGACCGAGAAUACGUUCUUCCGUGAGAUUAGGAUGUGUUGACUGAGAAUACGUUCUUCCGUGAGAUUAGGAUGUGUUGACCGAGAAUACGUUCUUCGGUGAGAUUAGGAUGUGUUGACCGAGAAUACGUUCUUCGGUGAGAUUAGGAUGUGUUGACCGAGAAUACGUUCUUCGGUGAGAUUAGGAUGUGUUGACCAAGAAUACGUUCUUCGGUGAGAUUAGGAUGUGUUGACCGAGAAUACGUUCCUCCGUGAGAUUAGGAUGUGUUGACUGAGAAUACGUUCUUCCGUGAGAUUAGGAUGUGUUGACUGAGAAUACGUUCUUCCGUGAGAUUAGGAUGUGUUGACCGAGAAUACGUUCUUCCGUGAGAUUACGAUGUGUUGACCGAGAAUACGUUCUUCCGUGAGAUUAGGAUGUGUUGACUGAGAAUACGUUCCUCCGUGAGAUUAGGAUGUGUUGACUGAGAAUACGUUCUUCCGUGAGAUUAGGAUGUGUUGACUGAGAACAUCAGGGUUGCAAAAUUCCUUUGACUUUUUCCUUGUUGGAGGAUUCCUGGAUUUCCUGCUGAUUCCCUUCGGGUUAAAACAUCUUCCAAUCAGGAUUUCUAUAAAACAUGGGAAUUUGGGGAGUUACCUGGAAUUUUGCAACCCUGCAAAACAUACACAGUACCACAAACUCUUUAUAUACAGUACCAGUCAAACGUUUGGACAUACCUACUCAUUCAAGGGUUUUUCUUUAUUUUCUAUUUUUU